GCAAGUCGAACGAUGAAGCUGGUGCUUGCACUGGUGGAUUAGUGGCGAACGGGUGAGUAUCACGUGAGUAACCUUCCCUUGACUCUGGGAUAAGCCCGGGAAACUGGGUCUAAUACCGGAUAUGACCGGCCUCCGCAUGGGGUGCUGGUGGAAAGCUUUUGCGGUUUUGGAUGGACUCGCGGCCUAUCAGUUUGUUGGUGAGGUAAUGGCUCACCAAGGCGAUGACGGGUAGCCGGCCUGAGAGGGUGACCGGCCACACUGGGACUGAGACACGGCCCAGACUCCUACGGGAGGCAGCAGUGGGGAAUAUUGCACAAUGGGCGCAAGCCUGAUGCAGCGACGCCGCGUGCGGGAUGACGGCCUUCGGGUUGUAAACCGCUUUCAGCAAGGAAGAAGCUUUUUGUGACGGUACUUGCAGAAGAAGCGCCGGCUAACUACGUGCCAGCAGCCGCGGUAAUACGUAGGGCGCGAGCGUUAUCCGGAAUUAUUGGGCGUAAAGAGCUCGUAGGCGGUUUGCCACGUCUGCUGUGAAAGCCCGGGGCUCAACCUCGGGUGUGCAGUGGGUACGGGUAGGCUGGAGUGCAGUAGGGGAGACUGGAAUUCCUGGUGUAGCGGUGAAAUGCGCAGAUAUCAGGAGGAACACCGAUGGCGAAGGCAGGUCUCUGGGCUGUUACUGACGCUGAGGAGCGAAAGCAUGGGGAGCGAACAGGAUUAGAUACCCUGGUAGUCCAUGCCGUAAACGUUGGGCACUAGGUGUGGGGGACAUUCCACGUUUUCCGCGCCGUAGCUAACGCAUUAAGUGCCCCGCCUGGGGAGUACGGCCGCAAGGCUAAAACUCAAAGGAAUUGACGGGGGCCCGCACAAGCGGCGGAGCAUGCGGAUUAAUUCGAUGCAACGCGAAGAACCUUACCAAGGCUUGACAUGGACCGGAUCGCUGCAGAGAUGCAGUUUCCCUUCGGGGCUGGUUCACAGGUGGUGCAUGGUUGUCGUCAGCUCGUGUCGUGAGAUGUUGGGUUAAG
rnacentral:rRNA from 1 species